rnacentral:rRNA from 1 species
UACGUAGGGUGCGAGCGUUGUCCGGAAUCAUUGGGCGUAAAGCGCGUGUAGGCGGCUCGGUAAGUCCGGUGUGAAACCUUGGGGCUCAACCCCAAGCCUGCACUGGAUACUGUCGAGCUCGAGUCCGGGAGGGGAGAGCGGAAUUCCUAGUGUAGCGGUGAAAUGCGCAGAUAUUAGGAAGAACACCGGUGGCGAAGGCGGCUCUCUGGAACGGUACUGACGCUGAGACGCGAAAGCGUGGGGAGCGAACAGG